AUGGACCCUGAUGACAUCAUGUUCAAUUUCUUCAUCCACGAGAUACCGGCCAUGUCGCAGGCGUCAGGAGUGGUCAUCAACACCUGGGACGAGCUCGACGCACCCCUGCUCGAUGCCAUGUCCAAGCUCCUGCCGCCCGUCUACACAGUGGGGCCGCUCCAUCUGACGGCUCGCAACAACGUGCCAAAGGAGAGCCCUGUCACCGGCAUCGGGUCCAACCUGUUGAAGGAGCAGGACGCUGCCCUCCGGUGGCUCGACGGCCGGCCGCCGCGCUCCGUGGUGCACGUCAAUUUUGGGAGCACCACGGUGAUGUCAAAGGAUCAUAUGCUGGAAUUCGCGUGGGGGCUGGCCAACACCGGCUAUGCCUUCCUGUGGAACGUGCGGCCUGGCCUCGUCAAGGACGGCAUGGUCGCACUUCCGCCAGACUUCUAUGCAGCGAUGGAGGGGCGGAGCAUGCUGUCGACGUGGUGUCCGCAGCAGGAGGUGCUAGAGCACGAGGCCGUAGGGGUGUUCCUCACGCACUGCGGGUGGAACUCGUCGCUCGAGGGCAUCUGCGGUGGCGUGCCGAUGGUGUGCUGGCCAUUUUUCUCGGAGCAGCUGACCAACUGCCGUUACAAGUGCACGGAGUGGGGCAUCGGGAUGGAGAUUGGGGAUGACGUGAGGAGGACUGAGGUGGAGGCUGUGUUACGGGAGGCCAUGGAGGGGAAGAAGGGGCGAGAGAUGCGUCGACGCGUGCUGGAGCUCCGGGAGAGCGCUGUGGCCUCCGCGAGGCGUGAUGGAAGGUCCAUGCGCAAUGUUGAUAGCCUCAUCCAAGAGGUGCUGCUGGCUUCAAACAUGCCAAUUAAGCUGGUGAAUAAAUGA
rnacentral:rRNA from 1 species